AUUGAACGCUGGCGGCAUGCCUUACACAUGCAAGUCGAACGGUAACAGGUCUUCGGAUGCUGACGAGUGGCGAACGGGUGAGUAAUACAUCGGAACGUGCCCGAUCGUGGGGGAUAACGGAGCGAAAGCUUUGCUAAUACCGCAUACGAUCUACGGAUGAAAGCAGGGGACCGCAAGGCCUUGCGCGGACGGAGCGGCCGAUGGCAGAUUAGCUAGUUGGUGGGUAAGAGCCUACCAAGGCGACGAUCAGUAGCGGGUCUGAGAGGAUGAUCCGCCACACUGGGACUGAGACACGGCCCAGACUCCUACGGGAGGCAGCAGUGGGGAAUUUUGGACAAUGGGCGAAAGCCUGAUCCAGCCAUGCCGCGUGUAUGAAGAAGGCCUUCGGGUUGUAAGUACUUUUGUUAGGGAAGAAAGACUUGUUGCUAAUAUCAGCAAGCCAUGACGGUACCUAAAGAAUAAGCACCGGCUAACUACGUGCCAGCAGCCGUAC
rnacentral:rRNA from 1 species